AGUGAACGCUGGCGGUAGGCCUAACACAUGCAAGUCGAACGGCAGCACAGUAAGAGCUUGCUCUUACGGGUGGCGAGUGGCGGACGGGUGAGGAAUACAUCGGAAUCUACUUUUUCGUGGGGGAUAACGUAGGGAAACUUACGCUAAUACCGCAUACGACCUACGGGUGAAAGCAGGGGAUCUUCGGACCUUGCGCGAUUGAAUGAGCCGAUGUCGGAUUCGCUAGUUGGCGGGGUAAAGGCCCACCAAGGCGACGAUCCGUAGCUGGUCUGAGAGGAUGAUCAGCCACACUGUAACUUAGACACGGUCCAGACUCCUACGGGAGGCAGCAGUGGGGAAUAUUGGACAAUGGGCGCAAGCCUGAUCCAGCCAUACCGCGUGGGUGAAGAAGGCCUUCGGGUUGUAAAGCCCUUUUGUUGGGAAAGAAAAGCAGCAGGUUAAUACCCCGCUGUUCUGACGGUACCCAAAGAAUAAGCACCGGCUAACUUCGUG
rnacentral:rRNA from 1 species